rnacentral:misc_RNA from 1 species
UAGACAUACUCCAGGUAUCAAUCAGCUUGGUAGUAGCCUUUUUCUUUAAGUUUUGUGCUUAUAGCUUUGAGGAUGCAAUGAGAGAACCAUUCGGUUAUGUCUUGUACAGCAUAGAUCACUUGCAUAGGAUGGUGAAGAAGUUGACCUAAAAUUUAACUUUGCAAUCAGUUAGUCACAAAUAAUUACAGUGUGAAAUGCUAAAGUUCAUACAGAUUUAAAGGUUUUGUUAAUUGGCCAAAUUAUUUUUCACUAGAACUGUCUAACGCUUAGUGAAAGGUAACAUGUUUGAAGCAGAUAAAGCUGGCUAAGAUUGUCAGAGUUUAGUUCUACCCUUAUAAGCUGGAACAAUGGUUAUAUUUUGUUGGCUGCUUAGAAUUGCUAUUUUAAAUUUCUAUUUAUGUAUGUUCUUGUGACACUACGAAGAGCAUCACUUUAUGUCUCUUUGGAGAAGUGGUCUUCAGCUUGCGAUUGCAGAACAAUCCUUUUAUCCAUUCAGAGUCUAUUGGGAGGUCUGUUUUCUAUUUUUCUACAUGUUUGAGCUUUGUUUUUGUUGAUGUCUUUAUCGGACCAUUCAGUUCUUGUGCAGAACCUAAUCCAGACAGUCCUCUCAACAGCUAUUCUGCAAAAUUAUGGAAUAAUAAGGAAGAUUACAAGAAAAUGGUCCACAAACAGUACUAUGCU